GAUUUCUGGCUGACCGUCCUGGCCCGCUUCUUUUACGGGAGUGAGUGCCGGUACGAGUUUGCCAUCCUUCUAGAAAGCCGCGCCUACCGUUCAUUCGUGCGGGCGUGUGCAGUCUAGAUCUUUUACUUUGAAAAAAUUAGAGUGUUUAAAGCAGGCUUACGCUAUGAAUACAUUAGCAUGGAAUAAUAAUUUAGGACUUUGGUUCUAUUUUGUUGGUUUCUAGAACUCGAGUAAUGAUUGAUAGGGAUAGUUGGGGGUGCUAGUAUUCAGCGGCCAGAGGUGAAAUUCUCGGAUUCGCUGAAGACUAACUUAUGCGAAAGCAUU
rnacentral:rRNA from 1 species